GUUGGGAGGGGCUGCCGCCUUGUGCGCUCCCCUCCCAACCAAACCCAAACCCCGGCACAGAAUGUGCCAAGGAACCAAAAUUAUUCCACUGCCCCCCCGUUGGCACCGGAGACGGUGCCCUCGCGGGACGUGUGAUGCAUGAUAAUAUAUAAACGACUCUCGGCAACGGAUAUCUAGGCUCUUGCAUCGAUGAAGAACGUAGCGAAAUGCGAUACUUGGUGUGAAUUGCAGAAUCCCGUGAACCAUCGAGUUUUUGAACGCAAGUUGCGCCCAAAGCCAUUAGGUUGAGGGCACGUCUGCCUGGGCGUCACAUAUCGUUGCCCUGUGCCCCAUGCCUAUUGAUAGGCACCGUGCAGGGCGAAUGUUGGCUUCCCGUGAGCUCUUUUGCCUCACGGUUGGCUGAAAACUGAGUCCUUGGUAGGGUGUGUGCCAUGAUAGAUGGUGGUUGUGUGACCCACGAGACCGUUCAUGUGCAGCUCUACCAGAUUUGGCCUCUACGACCCACUUGCGUCCUUGGAUGCUCAUGACGAGAC
rnacentral:rRNA from 1 species